rnacentral:rRNA from 1 species
GGAACCUGGCGGCGUGCCUAAUCAUGCAAGUCGAGCGAACAGACGCAGGAGCUUGCUCCUCUGACGUUAGCGGCGGACGGGUGAGUAACACGUGGAUAACCUACCUAUAAGACUGGGAUAACUUCGGGAAACCGGAGCUAAUACCGGAUAAUAUAUUGAACCGCAUGGUUCAAUAGUGAAAGACGGUUUUGCUGUCACUUAUAGAUGGAUCCGCGCCGCAUUAGCUAGUUGGUAAGGUAACGGCUUACCAAGGCAACGAUGCGUAGCCGACCUGAGAGGGUGAUCGGCCACACUGGAACUGAGACACGGUCCAGACUCCUACGGGAGGCAGCAGUAGGGAAUCUUCCGCAAUGGGCGAAAGCCUGACGGAGCAACGCCGCGUGAGUGAUGAAGGUCUUCGGAUCGUAAAACUCUGUUAUUAGGGAAGAACAAAUGUGUAAGUAACUAUGCACGUCUUGACGGUACCUAAUCAGAAAGCCACGGCUAACUACGUGCCAGCAGCCGCGGUAAUACGUAGGUGGCAAGCGUUAUCCGGAAUUAUUGGGCGUAAAGCGCGCGUAGGCGGUUUUUUAAGUCUGAUGUGAAAGCCCACGGCUCAACCGUGGAGGGUCAUUGGAAACUGGAAAACUUGAGUGCAGAAGAGGAAAGUGGAAUUCCAUGUGUAGCGGUGAAAUGCGCAGAGAUAUGGAGGAACACCAGUGGCGAAGGCGACUUUCUGGUCUGUAACUGACGCUGAUGUGCGAAAGCGUGGGGAUCAAACAGGAUUAGAUACCCUGGUAGUCCAC